ACAUACCACUUGUUGCCUCGGCGGAUCAGCCCGCUCCCGGUAAAACGGGACGGCCCGCCAGAGGACCCCUAAACUCUGUUUCUAUAUGUAACUUCUGAGUAAAACCAUAAAUAAAUCAAAACUUUCAACAACGGAUCUCUUGGUUCUGGCAUCGAUGAAGAACGCAGCAAAAUGCGAUAAGUAAUGUGAAUUGCAGAAUUCAGUGAAUCAUCGAAUCUUUGAACGCACAUUGCGCCCGCCAGUAUUCUGGCGGGCAUGCCUGUUCGAGCGUCAUUUCAACCCUCAAGCACAGCUUGGUGUUGGGACUCGCGUUAAUUCGCGUUCCCCAAAUUGAUUGGCGGUCACGUCGAGCUUCCAUAGCGUAGUAGUAAAACCCUCGUUACUGGUAAUCGUCGCGGCCACGCCGUUAAACCCCAACUUCUGAAUGUUGACCUCGGAUCAGGUAGGAAUACCCGCUGAACUUAAGCAUAUCAAUAAGCGGAGGAAUU
rnacentral:rRNA from 1 species